GAAAGCUCCUUUCCUCUCUCUACGGCUAACACAGAAGAGAAUUGAGAGGUUGGAGUCCUCAAAAGCCUCAUCUACAAGAGGAGAGUGAAAGAAAGAAGAUAAAAUAUGUCUACCAACAGUUCCGCAUUUACGAUAAUUUUGGGCUCAUCGACAAAUUUUAAGGGAGAUGGGAUAUGAGUUCACUAUAAUGAGUGCAGACAUAGAUGAGAAAAUUAUUAGGAGGGAAAAGCCAGCUGAUUUGGUAAUGGCUCUAGCUGAAGCGAAGGCAGAUGCCAUUGUAUCCAGGCUCAAAAGUACAGCUCAAUUUGAGGGGGAGGCUCAUUCAACACUGUUGAUAACUGCAGAUACAGGGUGUAUGAAGGGAUAAUCAGAGAAAAACCAUCCAGCAAGGAAGAAUCGCGGUAGUUUAUCAAAGGAUAUUCUGGUGGUCAAGCAGAGGUGGUAGGAUCUGUUCUUGUAACUAAUCUUAAGAGUGGAAAAAUAAAUGGUGGAUGGGACAGAGCCGAGAUCAAUGAGGGAUUUACACUCAAUGUUGCUGGAGGUUUGAUGCUGGAACAUCCAAUGACAUUGCCUUUUGUGGAAGCAGUGGUCAGCAGAGCUUACUGUCUCUCUCUCUCUCUCUCUCUCUCUCUCCCUCUCUCUCUCUCUCUCUAUUAGUCUCUCACAUACACACAUGCCCACACUUUGGAGGAGCUAGUUUUAGGCACCACACUAUUGUGGAUGGCACCCAGACUAUUCAAGUCUUUCGGACACCUAAGCCUCUCCAAAGAACUCGCCUGACCAGUGAUCCACAUCCCCAGCAUUGGCAUUCAAAAAAUAUGUAUGAUUAUAUCAUCCAUGGGAUCAUGAAACGCGUGGCACUACACCCAUAGGAGGAGCCAGGGAUCGAGGGGCAGUUCACUUUGGUUUCCAUAAUGAUCUCAAUUUUAAGGUAAAGUUUCCAUACGUUUUACAUCGAGUCAUAUUAAAUUCUAAAUUUAUUUUUGUAAGAUCUAAUUAGAAAAUGAUAAAAACAAAAACAUUUAACAAGGCUUUUCAAUGUAACGAAAUUUGUGCAUCAAGAAAAGAGAAUAAUUAACGUUUUUGUAUGUGGAUUUCUGAAACUAAAUAUGCUCUUUAUCUUAAAAGAAAUAUGGAUAAAUUUAGUUCUGCAUUUUAGAAGAAAGGAUUAUUUUUGUAGGAUACAAAACCAAAACACAAAUAAUAGGUUUAAACAUUGACAUUGACGGACUAACCUAAUAAUUAAGAAUAAUGCUAUGAUGCCUUUUAAUUUGUACCACUCAUUUUGCCUAUUUGAUAUGGCACUACAUAGCUUAUUAAAAAAUGUUUUAAAAUAUAUAUUCAAUAUAAGAUGGUGCUCGAAACACAAAAAGAUGAAGACGAAAAUCCUAAAUUCCCUUUAAUAUUUUAUGUUUGUAUUUUUAAUUUUUUUAGUAAUUAGCCAUGUGAUAGUGCAUUAACACUACAAGAAAUAAGGCUUUCUGUGGUCAAAAUUAUUUCCAGCAACUAGUAUUUUGUUGCAACAAGUCAAUAAUUACUGUUGCAAGGCUUCAUUUCCGUCAAGUGGCUGAAUCGCCACAAAAACCGCACUUUUCCUAGCAUAAAUUCAGCGCUGCAAAUACAAUUGUUGCAAAAUGUCAAUACAAUAGACGACGUUUUGCGACAAUUUUUAUUUGUGGUGAUUUUAAGUUUGCAGCAAAACUCAAGUUUUAACAUUUUCGUUCCUUUAUUUUCGGCGAACAAAAAGUUGAGGCUAAAAACCACUAUUGCGGCCAAGUAAAUUUCUAAAGGCAUUGGUUCUUCGAGAUUUAUAUUAGUAUAUUUUUACUUAAAAAGUGGGGAUAGAUAAGCAUAUGGAUCGACUGAGUUUUGUAGUAUUUAUUAUUAGUCAUGUGAGUCUCUCAAGGAACAUUAAAUAAUCAACAAAUAUGGUGAACCAAUUUUAUAUAUGUAUUGAUGAUUGUGUUCUUUUACUCUAAUCAUGUUGUGAAAGUCACCAAAAAUUCAUUCAGAUUCUAGCUGGCUCGCCCGUGGAACAAUGUUAACGACAUUCACUACAACAAAUUUUAGCUUUUGGGAUGAAAUUAUUUAGAAACGAACUAAAUUUCACCCCGAAAAGUAAUUAUUGGAGAAGUCUAAAAAAAUUGAUGACUUUAUAAAAUCGUUCAAAGGGCUAAAUAUUCGUUCGAACUAGAUCUUCUGUGACGAAUUAGGUCUUCUAAAAAAAUCAAGCUCAUUCGAAUGAAAAAAAAUUCUGUUCGAACUUAGAAUUAAUGUUUGUUCGAAUGGUUUAUAAUUUGUUUGAAUAAUAAUCUUAGUGGGGAAGUAACUUAUUUUGCCAGAGAAAGUUCGAAUCCAUUCGAACCUCAAUUGGUUUGUUCAAACGGAGAAGAUUUGGUAAGAAAUUAGGCAGGAAGGUUGCAAGAUUGUUUGAACUACACAUAUUGCGCUUGAACACAACAUUUAUGCAUUCGAAUGGAUCAGUUGGUGUGAAAUUAAAUUAAAACUGUCGGGGAAUUUUUUAAACCUUGU